rnacentral:misc_RNA from 1 species
AAGCCACAAGCUUAACUGAUUUCACGUUGUCCUUCUCCCAAGAUGAUCAGUGGGGUGCAAGAAUAUAUCAGUUUUCCGAUAUUUAUUAUUACUGUUGUAGUCGGUCUUUUGAUUCUCCAUUUGUUGAAAAGCAGGCCCACAAACAUACCGCCUGGUCCCGUAGGAUUACCCUUUGUAGGAUACUUACCAUUUUUGGGUUCUGAGCCUCAUCUUACCCUAAGAAACUUAGCUGAGAAAUAUGGGGACAUACUAAGCUUCUCUAUUUGUGGAAAAACUGUUGUUUAUUUGAACAACUACGAAGUUAUUCGUGAAGCGUUUCUUAAACGAGGGGAUGAGUUUGCAGGGAGACCUCAAUAUCCAAGCUUUUUUAGAUGGCUAACGGACGGCACAGGUAUCAUUCAGGACGAAGGGAGACAAUGGCAGGAACACAGGCGUUUUGCUCUCCAUACUCUCCGAGAUUUCGGCUUUGGUAAGUUAAGUUUGGAAGGCCGUGUUCAGGAGAUUACCAAGGACAUCCUCAAUACCUUGAAGGAGACAAAGGCGAUGCCCUACGACGUGUCCACCCUAUUGGCUAACAGUACAGCUAAUGUAAUAAGUAGUCUUAUGUUUGAUAAGCAUUAUGACUACCAAAAUCCAGAGUUUCUACAACUUCGGAAUUUAACGCAGACGUUUCUUUACGCUAUACCUGGACUCGGUUCAUUCAUACCAAGGACUUAUAUGAACUAUUUGCCAUCAAUUCUGCUGCCCACUUUUAAAACGAUAAACGGAGUUAAGAAGGAGUUUCACGAAUUUGUCGAAAAAAUCAUCCGAGAACACGAAUCAACGUAUCAAGAGGCAAACCUUCGAGAUUAUGUAGACGUAUACCUGGAACAGAAAUACCGAGCAGAAAGGGAAGAAAGGAUAGAUGAGAGCACAUUCACGUUGAAACGCUUAGCAGCCAUUAGUUUGAACAUGUUCCUUGCUGGUACUGAGACUACGUCCAACACCCUCUACUGGGGAAUGAAGUUAAUGACCUUCCACCCAGGAAUACAGGACCGUGUGUAUAAAGAGAUUGUAGAAGUUGUGGGAAAGGAGAGACUUCCUUCCAUGGUUGACCGCAAUAACAUGCCUUACACAGAGGCUACAAUAAUGGAAAUUCAACGAUUUGCUAACAUUGUACCCUUGGGGAUUGCCCAUUCAAAUCCAGAACAAACAACACUACGUGGCUACACAAUUCCAAAGAGGUGCGUUCUGUUGGCGAAUUUGUGGAACGUCCAUAGAGACCCCAAGUACUGGCCAGAACCAGAAAAGUUCGAUCCAUCCAGGUUUCUGAGUUCAGACGGCAAGGUAGUGAAGAGGGAAAGUUUCAUACCCUUCAGCAUUGGUAAAAGAAUCUGUCUUGGAGAAACUCUCGCUAAGAUGGAAUUGUUCUUAUUCUUUACGGCCAUUCUCCAGCAGUUCCAUAUCAAGGCACCAGAGGGCGACCUCAAGACCUUUGACAGAUAUACCAGCAUAGUUCGGCUAUUGAAGCCUUUUAAAAUAGUAGCCGUUGCUCGAGAUUGAACCGUAAUUGUACCAAAUCCUUCUUUAUUCAAAAUAUGGGCUUACUUGAAAAUUCGAGAGAAGGCUGUUUCACUUUUAUGUUCUAAGCUAUCCCUAAUUUAGGAGUGAAAGACUAGAGGGAAGGCAGCUAGUCAGCACAACCCACCGCCAGCUGAAA